rnacentral:tRNA from 1 species
AUUUAAAUAGUUUAAUUAAAAUAUUAAUUUGUGGAGUUAAUGAUAUAACUGAGUUAUUUUAAAUU